rnacentral:rRNA from 1 species
UACGGGGGGGGCAAGCGUUGUUCGGAAUUACUGGGCGUAAAGGGAGCGUAGGCGGACAGUUUAGUCAGAGGUGAAAGCCCAGGGCUCAACCCUGGAAUUGCCUUUGAUACUGAUUGUCUUGAGUAUGGGAGAGGUGUGUGGAACUCCGAGUGUAGAGGUGAAAUUCGUAGAUAUUCGGAAGAACACCAGUGGCGAAGGCGACACACUGGCCCAUUACUGACGCUGAGGCUCGAAAGCGUGGGGAGCAAACAGG